UCAAGUUAUUAAGGGUGCAGGGCGGAUGCCUUGGCACUAGGAGCCGAUGAAGGACGUGAUAAGCUGCGAUAAGCUUCGGGGAGUUGCACGUAAACUUUGAUCCGAAGAUUUCCGAAUGAGGAAACUCACUUAGAGUAAUGUCUAAGUAUCAUUAAGUGAAUACAUAGCUUAAUGAGGGGAACUCAGGGAACUGAAACAUCUAAGUACCUGAAGGAAGAGAAAGAAAUUCGAUUCCGUAAGUAGCGGCGAGCGAACGCGGAUUAGCCCAAACCAAUAAAGUUUUCUUUAUUGGGGUUGCGGACAUAUCAUAACGAAGAGGUAUCGUAAUUGAAGAGGUUUGGAAAGACCCACCACAGAAGGUAAUAGUCCUGUAUGUUAAACGAGAAGACUUCAGAUAUGAUCCAGAGUACCACGGGACACGUGAAACCCUGUGGGAAGCAGGAGGGACCACCCUCCAAGGCUAAAUACUACCUAGUGACCGAUAGCGUAUAGUACCGUGAGGGAAAGGUGAAAAGAACCCCGGGAGGGGAGUGAAAUAGAACCUGAAACCCUGCACUUACAAGCUGUGGAAGCACAUUUCUUGUGUGACCGCGUACUUUUUGUAGAACGGGCCAACGAGUUACGUUAAGUAGCAAGGUUAAGCACUUAAGGUGCGGAGCCGUAGCGAAAGCGAGUUUUAACUGAGCGUUCAGUUACUUGACGUAGACCCGAAACCGGGCGACCUACCCAUGAGCAGGAUGAAGCGAAAGUAAAAUUUCGUGGAGGUCCGAACCCACGAGCGUUGAAAAGCUCGGGGAUGACUUGUGGGUAGCGGUGAAAUUCCAAUCGAGCCCGGAGAUAGCUGGUUCUCCCCGAAAUAGCUUUAGGGCUAGCCUCAAGGUGAGAGAUACGGAGGUAGAGCACUGAAUGUCCUAGGGGGUAUUGCACCUACCGAAGACUAUCAAACUCCGAAUGCCGUCAUCUUAUACUUGGGAGUCAGACUGUGGGUGAUAAGAUUCAUAGUCGAAAGGGCAACAGCCCAGAUCGUCAGCUAAGGUCCCUAAAUGUAAGUUAAGUGGUAAAGGAUGUGGGAUUGCACAGACAACCAGGAUGUUGGCUUAGAAGCAGCCACUCAUUCAAAGAGUGCGUAAUAGCUCACUGGUCGAGUGAUCCUGCGCCGAAGAUUUCCGGGGCUAAAACUUACUACCGAAGCUACGGCAUCAGUAAUGAUGGGUAGGGGAGCUUCCCAUACGGGUUGAAGCAUGACCGUAAGGACAUGUGGACAGUAUGGGAGUGAGAAUGUUGGCAUGAGUAGCGAGAUGUGGGUGAGAAUCCCACAGGCCGUAAACCCAAGGUUUCCAGGGGAAGGUUCGUCCGCCCUGGGUUAGUCGGGACCUAAGCUGAGGCCGAAAGGCGUAGGUGAUGGACAACAGGUUGAUAUUCCUGUACUACCGAUAACCGUUUGAGAGAAGGGAUGACACAGUAGGAUAAGCUAAGCACACUGUUGGUUAUGUGUGCCCAAGCAUUGAGGCAGUCAAAGUAGGCAAAUCCGCUUUGAUAAUGCUGGGAUGUGAUGGGGAGCGAAAUUUAGUAGCGAAGUAGCUGAUUUCACACUGUCAAGAAAAGUCUCUAUCGAGGUUAAAGGUACCCGUACCGCAAACCGACACAGGUGGGUGAGGAGAGUAUCCUAAGGCCAGCGAGAGAACUGUUGUUAAGGAACUCGGCAAAAUGACCCCGUAACUUAGGGAUAAGGGGUGCCACCAUCAGGUGGCCGCAGAGAAUAGGCCCAAGCGACUGUUUACCAAAAACAUAGGUUUCUGCUAAGUCGCAAGACGAUGUAUAGGAGCUGACGCCUGCCCGGUGCUGGAAGGUUAAGGGGAUCUGUUAGAGCAAUCGAAGCAGUGAACUUAAGCCCCAGUAAACGGCGGCCGUAACUAUAACGGUCCUAAGGUAGCGAAAUUCCUUGUCGGGUAAGUUCCGACCCGCACGAAAGGCGUAACGAUUUGGGCACUGUCUCAACAACAGACUCGGUGAAAUUGUAAUUCCGGUGAAGAUGCCGGAUACCUGCGACAGGACGGAAAGACCCCAUGGAGCUUUACUGUAGCUUGACAUUGGGUCUUGGUACUACAUGUACAGGAUAGGUGGGAGGCUUUGAAACCAGGACGCCAGUUUUGGCGGAGCCAUCCUUGGGAUACCACCCUUGUAGUACUGGGACUCUAACCAUAGGCCAUGAAUCUGGUCUUGGGACACUGUCAGGCGGGCAGUUUGACUGGGGCGGUCGCCUCCCAAAAGGUAACGGAGGCGCUCAAAGGUUCUCUCAGUACGGUCGGAAAUCGUACGUAGAGUGUAAAGGCAAAAGAGAGCUUGAUUGCAAGACAUACAGGUCGAGCAAGGAUGAAAAUCGGACUUAGUGAUCCGGUGGUUCUGCGUGGAAGGGCCAUCGCUCAACGGAUAAAAGCUACCCUGGGGAUAACAGGCUUAUCUCCCCCAAGAGUCCACAUCGACGGGGAGGUUUGGCACCUCGAUGUCGGCUCAUCACAUCCUGGGGCUGUAGUAGGUCCCAAGGGUUGGGCUGUUCGCCCAUUAAAGUGGUACGCGAGCUGGGUUCAGAACGUCGUGAGACAGUUCGGUCCCUAUCCGUCGCAGGCGUAGGAAAUUUGAGAAGACCUGUCCUUAGUACGAGAGGACCGGGAUGGACGUACCUCUGGUGUACCAGUUGUUCUGCCAAGGGCAUGGCUGGGUAGCUAUGUACGGAAUGGAUAAGCGCUGAAAGCAUCUAAGCGCGAAGCCAACUUCAAGAUAAGAUUUCCCACCGCAAGGGUAAGACCCCAGAAAGACUAUCUGGUUGAUAGGUCGAAGGUGUAAGUGCAGCAAUGUAUUUAGCUUAUCGAUACUAAUAGGUCGAGGACUUGACCAA
rnacentral:rRNA from 1 species